CCUACGGGGGGCAGCAGUGAGGAAUAUUGGUCAAUGGUCGGGAGACUGAACCAGCCAAGCCGCGUGAGGGAGGAAGGUACAGAGUAUCGUAAACCUCUUUUGUCAUGGAACAAAGACUGGGACGCGUCCCCGGAUGAGUGUACCUGAAGAAAAAGCAUCGGCUAAUUCCGUGCCAGCAGCCGCGGUAAUACGGAGGGUGCGGGCGUUAUCCGGAUUUAUUGGGUUUAAAGGGUGCGCAGGCGGUUUGUUAAGUCGGCGGUCAAAGCCCGGGGCUCAACCCCGGCCCGCCGUUGAAACUGGCAGGCUUGAGUUGGAGGGAAGUAUGCGGAAUGCGCGGUGUAGCGGUGAAAUGCAUAGAUAUCGCGAAGAACUCCGAUUGCGAAGGCAGCAUGCGGGCUCCACACUGACGCUGAGGCACGAAGGCGUGGGUAUCGAACAGGAUUAGAUACCCUAGUAGUC
rnacentral:rRNA from 1 species